GAUGUUAAGACGGCUGCCCUCCACACCCAAGGACA
rnacentral:tRNA from 1 species